GGAGAGAUGGCAGAGUGGUCGAUCGCGUCGGUCUUGAAAACCGAAGGGCAGCAAUGUCCCAGGGGUUCGAAUCCCCUUCUCUCCU
rnacentral:tRNA from 1 species